rnacentral:rRNA from 1 species
UAGGGAAUAUUGCACAAUGGGCGAAAGCCUGAUGCAGCAACGCCGCGUGCGCGAUGAAGGCCUUCGGGUCGUAAAGCGCUUUUCGGGGAGAUGAGAAAGGACAGUAUCCCCGGAAUAAGUCUCGGCUAACUACGUGCCAGCAGCCGCGGUAAAACGUAGGAGGCAAGCGUUAUCCGAAUUUACUGGGCGUAAAGCGCGUGCAGGCGGUUCGAUAAGUUGGAUGUGAAAUCUCCUGGCUCAACUGGGAGAGGUCGUUCAAAACUAUCGAGACUAGAGGACGGUAGAGGGGGGUGGAAUUCCCGGUGUAGUGGUGAAAUGCGUAGAUAUCGGGAGGAACACCUGUGGCGAAAGCGGCCCCCUGGGCCGUUCCUGACGCUCAGACGCGAAAGCUAGGGUAGCGAACGGGAUUAGAAACCCCGGUAGUCCUAGCCGUAAACGAUGUGAACUUGGUGUUGGUGGGGUAAAAGCCAUCGGUGCCGAAGCAAACGCGAUAAGUUCACCGCCUGGGGACUACGGCCGCAAGGUU